UUCAAGUGGCGGCGUGCUAUACAUGCAAGUCGAACGAACUCUGGUAUUGAUUGGUGCUUGCAUCAUGAUUUACAUUUGAGUGAGUGGCGAACUGGUGAGUAACACGUGGGAAACCUGCCCAGAAGCGGGGGAUAACACCUGGAAACAGAUGCUAAUACCGCAUAACAACUUGGACCGCAUGGUCCGAGCUUGAAAGAUGGCUUCGGCUAUCACUUUUGGAUGGUCCCGCGGCGUAUUAGCUAGAUGGUGGGGUAACGGCUCACCAUGGCAAUGAUACGUAGCCGACCUGAGAGGGUAAUCGGCCACAUUGGGACUGAGACACGGCCCAAACUCCUACGGGAGGCAGCAGUAGGGAAUCUUCCACAAUGGACGAAAGUCUGAUGGAGCAACGCCGCGUGAGUGAAGAAGGGUUUCGGCUCGUAAAACUCUGUUGUUAAAGAAGAACAUAUCUGAGAGUAACUGUUCAGGUAUUGACGGUAUUUAACCAGAAAGCCACGGCUAACUACGUGCCAGCAGCCGCGGUAAUACGUUAGGUGCCAAGCGUUGUUCCGGAUUUAAUGGGCCUAAAGCGAGGCGCAGGCGGUUUUUUAAGUCUGAUGUGAAAGCCUUCGGCUCAACCGAAGAAGUGCAUCGGAAACUGGGAAACUUGAGUGCAGAAGAGGACAGUGGAACUCCAUGUGUAGCGGUGAAAUGCGUAGAUAUAUGGAAGAACACCAGUGGCGAAGGCGGCUGUCUGGUCUGUAACUGACGCUGAGGCUCGAAAGUAUGGGUAGCAAACAGGAUUAGAUACCCUGGUAGUCCAUACCGUAAACGAUGAAUGCUAAGUGUUGGAGGGUUUCCGCCCUUCAGUGCUGCAGCUAACGCAUUAAGCAUUCCGCCUGGGGAGUACGGCCGCAAGGCUGAAACUCAAAGGAAUUGACGGGGGCCCGCACAAGCGGUGGAGCAUGUGGUUUAAUUCGAAGCUACGCGAAGAACCUUACCAGGUCUUGACAUACUAUGCAAAUCUAAGAGAUUAGACGUUCCCUUCGGGGACAUGGAUACAGGUGGUGCAUGGUUGUCGUCAGCUCGUGUCGUGAGAUGUUGGGUUAAGUCCCGCAACGAGCGCAACCCUUAUUAUCAGUUGCCAGCAUUAAGUUGGGCACUCUGGUGAGACUGCCGGUGACAAACCGGAGGAAGGUGGGGAUGACGUCAAAUCAUCAUGCCCCUUAUGACCUGGGCUACACACGUGCUACAAUGGAUGGUACAACGAGUUGCGAACUCGCGAGAGUAAGCUAAUCUCUUAAAGCCAUUCUCAGUUCGGAUUGUAGGCUGCAACUCGCCUACAUGAAGUCGGAAUCGCUAGUAAUCGCGGAUCAGCAUGCCGCGGUGAAUACGUUCCCGGGCCUUGUACACACCGCCCGUCACACCAUGAGAGUUUGUAACACCCAAAGUCGGUGGGGUAACCUUUUAGGAACCAGCCGCCUAAGGUGGGACAGAUGAUUAGGGUGAAGUCGUAACAAGAGCCUAGUCCAC
rnacentral:rRNA from 2 species